rnacentral:pre_miRNA from 1 species
UGGUUACUCCCUCCGUCUGAAAAUACUUGUCAUCAAAAUGAAUAAAAGGGGAUGUAUCUAGAUGUAUUUUAGUUUUAGAUACAUCCCUUUUUGUCCAUUUUGAUGACAAGUAUUUUCGGACGGAGGAAGUAUUUA